CACCGCCCCCGCGGCGCCGGGCACGCCGGGAGUCGUAGUCCUGAAGUGCCCGGUGAGGGCGGCUGGAGCGGGCUGUGGGGAUGGCGUCACCGAGGGGCAGGCGCUGUGGGGUGUGUGGCUCCGCAGCCGCCCGAGGGGAGCGGCGGGAAAAGGCCGAGUGACUGUAGGUGACACAUGGACCUUCCACACAGGAGUUGCUACAGGCCCUUAGCUACCAGGUUACUACAGUAUCCAUAGCACCGAAGAACUCUGUCCUCUGCCUUGUACAGAAAACACAGGUACCCAGUGCUCCAUAAACUCUUCAUUAAACCAUCGAAAGCUUGAAAAAGUUGGCCAUUACCAGCUUUACAUUUCACGGGAAUAUCUGUUCCUAUCAUAACGUGACAGCU